UUGUUGCCUCGGCAGAAGUUAUAGGUCUUCUUAUAGCUGCUGCCGGUGGACCAUUAAACUCUUGUUAUUUUAUGUAAUCUGAGCGUCUUAUUUUAAUAAGUCAAAACUUUCAACAACGGAUCUCUUGGUUCUGGCAUCGAUGAAGAACGCAGCGAAAUGCGAUAAGUAAUGUGAAUUGCAGAAUUCAGUGAAUCAUCGAAUCUUUGAACGCACAUUGCGCCCAUUAGUAUUCUAGUGGGCAUGCCUGUUCGAGCGUCAUUUCAACCCUUAAGCCUAGCUUAGUGUUGGGAAUCUACUUCUUUUAUUAGUUGUAGUUCCUGAAAUACAACGGCGGAUUUGUAGUAUCCUCUGAGCGUAGUAAUUUUUUUUCUCGCUUUUGUUAGGUGCUAUAACUCCCAGCCGCUAAACCCCCAAUUUUUUGUGGUUGACCUCGGAUCAGGUAGGAAUACCCGCUGAACUUAA
rnacentral:rRNA from 1 species